CUUCCUCAUUCACUUAUAAUUACUUCUCCAAAUUUUUUUCUUCUCCAGAUAUUCAUCUUCUUCUUCUUCCCUUCAUCUUCUCUUCUGCAAACAUUGUUCUUCUUGGGAGCAGAAUUUUGGAACUAAAAGCAUCAAGAAACACAACCAUUUGUUCAUCAAUUCCAGUAUGUAACAUUACCAAUUCUAUCGUAGUUGGAUGUACGAUAGAAUGUUUCCUGGACGACGUGGGCUUAAACCACUUUUUAUGGAAGGAGUUGCCGCGUUUCUCUCGUUUGCGUUUGCUCAAGACUGUUGUCGCAGGGAAGGAGGGGUAAGGUGUCCGUGUUUAAAGUGUGGUUGCAG